AGGCGAUAAUCAUGUUUCUAUUAUGGAGUCACUGACUUCGGCGACUCUUCUACAAACAACAGAAUAUACAAUUAACUCCCUCAAGUCGUAAUUUGAUACACGCAAACCGAACACUCUUUCGUUUCAUCUUGACUCCUUGCUG
ensembl:ncRNA T22E5.9 ncRNA